GGCGUGAGAGCGUGAUCCCCCACAAUGGCACUGAGACACGGGCCAUACUCCUACGGGAGGCAGCAGUCAGGGAUAUUGCACAAUGGGCGAAAGCUUGAUGCAGCGACGCCGCGUGGGCGAUGAAGGCCUUCGGGUUGUAAAGCCCUUUUCUGGGGGAAGAGACAAGGACGGUUCCCCAGGAAUAAGCGCCGGCUAACUACGUGCCAGCAGCCGCGGUAAAACGUAGGGCGCAAGCGUUAUCCGGAUUCACUGGGCGUAAAGUGCGUUGAGGCGGUUCCGUAAGUUGGACGUUAAAGCCCCCGGCCUAACUGGGGGAGGCCGUUCAAUACUGCGGAACUUGAGGGCAGCAGAGGCAGGUGGAAUUCCCGGUGUAGUAGUGAAAUGCGUAGAUAUCGGGAGGAACACCCGUGGCGAAGGCGGCCUGCUGGGCUGCUCCUGACGCUGAAGGCGAAAGCUAGGGUAGCAAACGGGAUUAGAAACCCCGGUAGUCCUAGCCGUAAACGAUGGAUGCUGGGCGUGGGGGGUAUAGACUCCCCCCGUGCCGAAGCUAACGCGUUAAACAUCCCGCCUGGGGACUACGGCCGCAAGGCUAAAACUCAAACGAAUUGACGGGUCCCCGCACAAGCAGCGGAGCGUGUGGUUCAAUUCGAUUUACACGAAGAACCUUACCUGGGUUUGACAUGUGGGUAGUAGUGAAGCGAAAGCGGAACGACCCUUCGGGGAGCCUACACAGGUGCUGCAUGGCUGUCGUCAGCUCGUGCCGUGAGGUGUCGGGUUAAGUCCCGUAACGAGCGCAACCCUCGUCCUUAGUUACAAGUGUCUAGGGAGACUGCCGGCGACAAGCCGGAGGAAGGUGAGGAUGACGUCAAGUCAGCAUGGCCUUUAUAUCCAGGGCUACACACACGCUACAAUGGCCGGCACAAUGGGUUGCCAAGCCGCGAGGCGGAGCUAAUCCUCCAAAGCCGGUCUCAGUUCGAAUUGUAGGCUGCAACUCGCCUGCAUGAAGCUGGAGUUGCUAGUAAUCGCGCGUCAGCAAUAGCGCGGUGAAUACGUUCCCGGGGAUUGUACACACCGCCCGUCACGUCAUGGAAGCUGGCAACACCUGAAGCCGGUGGGCCAACCCGCAAGGGGGGCAGCCGUCGAAGGUGGGGCUGGUAACUGGGACGAAGUCGUAACAAGGUAGCUGUAGCGGAAGCUGCGGCUG
rnacentral:rRNA from 1 species